AAAAGGAAAGAAAGAACACAGAAGGAAAGUAGAAGGGAAAGAACGAAGGAAAAUAGAGGAGAGAUAGUAAGGAUCUCACAAAGAGUUGUUGAGAAAAUCUUGGGUUAAUGUUGAUUUUGAGAGCUUCACCAUGAACAAUACCAAAAUUUGGUCAAACAGAAUUUGGAAUAGCGGACGAUCCAGUUUAAAAGAUUUGCCGUACCUGAGUUUCUGAUUUUCUGAGUUUCUGAGUUUCAAGGAGAUAGUAGUUCAGCGUCUGCCACCUAGAAUAGUUCAAAGUUGCAUGACAUUCUGUAUGUAAAUUUUGUUGGUCUGUAAGAAAUUUUUAUCUACACCAUUUUGAUAAAAAAUAAUGUAUAGAAUGGAUGUAAGAAUGGUUGUUCUAUUGAGAUUAUUAUUUUAUUGUGCGUCCAUACAGAGAUUGUUAGUCAAAGAUCAGGUCAAGGUUAAGAAAGAAAGUUGAUCGUGGACUCCAUAGCUAGUCAGGGUCUGUGGUCGGCGUGAAUCAUUCUAGGACAACUAGGUAUUUUGAGACAGGUUAUGUCACUUCAAGAGUUGAGAUGAAUUCAUUAUUGUAUGUUG